rnacentral:rRNA from 1 species
AGAGUUUGAUCAUGGCUCAGGAUGAACGCUAGCGGCAGGCUUAACACAUGCAAGUCGAGGGGCAGCGGGGUGUAGCAAUACAUCGCCGGCGACCGGCGCACGGGUGCGUAACACGUAUGGAAUCUGCCCUGUACUGGGGAAUAGCCCUCCGAAAGGAGGAUUAAUACCCCGUAAUAGCUUGAGUGGCAUCACUCGGGUUUGAAAGCUCCGGCGGUACAGGAUGACCAUGCGCACGAUUAGCUAGUAGGUGAGGUAACGGCUCACCUAGGCUACGAUCGUUAGGGGGCCUGAGAGGGUUAUCCCCCACACUGGUACUGAGACACGGACCAGACUCCUACGGGAGGCAGCAGUGAGGAAUAUUGCGCAAUGGAGGAAACUCUGACGCAGCCAUGCCGCGUGCAGGAAGACGGCCCUACGGGUUGUAAACUGCUUUUAUCAGGGAAGAAACCCCGGGACGUGUCCCGGGUUGACGGUACCUGAGGAAUAAGCACCGGCUAACUCCGUGCCAGCAGCCGCGGUAAUACGGAGGGUGCAAGCGUUAUCCGGAUUCAUUGGGUUUAAAGGGUGCGUAGGCGGGGUGGUAAGUCAGUGGUGAAAUCCUGCAGCUUAACUGUAGAAUUGCCAUUGAUACUGCCAUUCUUGAGUGCGCUUGAAGUGGGCGGAAUGUGCCGUGUAGCGGUGAAAUGCUUAGAUAUGGCACAGAACACCAAUUGCGAAGGCAGCUCACUAAGGCGAUACUGACGCUGAGGCACGAAAGCGUGGGGAUCGAACAGGAUUAGAUACCCCGGUAGU